GCUUUUCACACCAACCCCAAAACCCGGUUUUCGAGAAAUUAUCGGUUUUCGCCGAAAACCUACAUCGAAAACUCAAGUUUUCCCAUACAUUUUUGUAAACGACAAGGUUUCGUAAACAACAUGUUUUAUAUAAAACCUCUCGAAAACUAGUUGGAAUUCAAAGUUGAACAAAACAAACAAACCUUUCGGAACAUUCAGCGAUCAAAUAAAUGUAAACAAAACAGGCUGCUGUCAAAACAAAUAUUUUAUUUUGAAAUUUUGUUCAAAACAAUUAUACAUAUAUUCAAACAAUCAAAACAAUUUGGCCGUGAAUAUGGAAGAAAAAAAAUAAAAAAAGGAAACUGUGGGGGAGCCAGGAUGAGGAGUACCUGCUCGAACUCUGGGCUGAAAAGGAGUCUGAGCUGCGGGGCAACCUCAUCCCAGUACGAAGAAGAUGUAGAAACUCCGUCGGCCGAGUCUGCAUCUAGUUCAUCGCGGGCUACUCCGUCAAGGCUCCGGGCUGCAAAGAAAAGAAAAAAACUUUAACUCUAAUUUUUUAAAAUUGUUCCAAAAAUAAAGUUUUUAAAAUA